rnacentral:lncRNA from 1 species
GCAAAGAUUGAAUUUAAAUCAAAGUGGUUUUUAUUUAUUUUUUUUCUGACUGCAAAGAUGAAGGGUUUUUUUUUGUGUUUGUUUUACAAGGCAUUGGCAUGUUGACAUUUAAAUUAUAAUUUUUUGCAUCCUCAGCCUACCCUGAAACAGGGUUGGGGGGGCAAUGCUAAAAGAGACUGGGCUGCACCUGUCACUGACGGUGGGCCCUUGCACGGGGCCAUCCCUCUCUGCUUUGUCUUCUGUUCUCAGAAGGUGACAUCCUGUGUAUGCUUCUAGUUCCAGUACCUUCUCGGGCUGGUGGCCUGAUCAAUCACGAUUCCGUAUUGUUCCUUUUAUUCUUUCCCUCUUUCUCUUAUCUUCGUGCUUGGCAUUUCAUAUUCUGCAUGCAUGAGGGGGUGGGCUGGGGUGAGGCCCCGGGUGUGAGUGUGCAGAUGGACGCCGUCAUCGUUUUGGAUAAUGUGUUAUGACUCAGCACACUUGUGGGCUGUCUCCUUGUUUGGCUUUCAUGCUCCCACUGACAGCUUAGCUGUAGUCUUUUGUUUGUGAGUUUGUGUUUAGAGCUCCUGAAAGUACUGUAAACUUGCCUUUGUGUCAAAGGCACACAGCUGGGGGAGAACUGAAGUAGACCAGAGCCCUGCCUGGAAAGGGGAUCUGGGUGGCAGUGACCCUGAUGGUGACCCAGCCUGACAGAGGUCCCUUCAGACCAACACUCAAGAAAGCCGGAAUUCGAUUAGGUGGGAGCAGAGGAUUUAAGUUGAACAUCAGCAAUGAAGAAAGGCUUAAAUUCAGACUGGGAACAGAUGUGUGUGUGACCGAGCAUGCCAUAAUCCUUGAGAACAAUGGAAAAUAUCCUGGAUUUUUUUUUUUUUAAAUGUAUGAACUGUGAUCAAGAAGGGAAAAAAAAGAGGAUACUGGACUUAGUUGGAAAUCUCAGUUAUUUUAACUUCAAUCCUUUUUAACCUUGAGAAAGUCAUUAAGGUUCUCUGAAACUUUCCCUAUUUUUUUCUUUUCAAAUAGGUAAUCUCUCAUGAUCUACAAAAAAGGGAUACUAUGUAAUUUUAUAGUUAUGAGGAGGAUUGAAGAGUGCAGGUAAAUCAACCGAAACCACCUGGUGUGUCUUUGGGAAAACUGAACUUUGGAUCCAUGUAUUUCCAGCAUCAAAACUAUAUUUAUUCUACCAAAAGGCAGUCAGGAAGAUUAUUAGAAAGCAGAGGGCAUCAAGGUUAAGGUAGUCAAUAGGUCUUAAGCUGGGUACGUGGAUAGGAGUGAGGACAGAAAUGCCAAAGGGUGACAUACGGAGUCCUAGGGCAGGAUGACCACGGGAGCUGGGAGAGUGAGGCAAAGACAGCGGCAGGCCUAGACUCCCCAUGCUCUCUACUUCCCAGUCCUCAGUAACGGACAUGCCAACUCACUGAGCCAAGUACCUAUUCUGUUUUUGGUUCGGAUGUUCAUCUACCAUCCAUCUGUCCACACACCCACCCAUCCAUCCAAUGUAUAUGGAGCUCUUUUUAUUUUUUUUAAAGAUUUAUUUAUUUAUUUGGGGCAGUGGUAGACAGGGGCAGAGGAAGAGGGAGAGAGAGUCUGAAGCAGACUUCGUGCUGAGUAUGGAGCUCAUCGUGGGGCUCAAUCCCAUAACCCCGAGAUCACGACCUGACCCAAAACCAAGAGCUGGAUGCUGAAUUGACUGUGCCACCCAGGUGCUCCAUGUGGAGCCCUUCUUAAAUGGCAGGUACUGUGCUAAAUACUAGAGGCAAUUCUGAGCAGACUCAGUUCCUAUCUUCUUAGAGUUUAUAAUCCAGUGGGGUCUCAAGAACCA